AGUAAAGUUAUCUUUUUCUUUUCACUCUCUUCUCGUUCAGAGAAGAGAAAAGGGGAGUUCUCCGUUUCCCAUAUUCAAUUAAUAGAAAUCAAUUCUAGGUUUUUGAUUCCAUUUUGUUUAUUAAAAAUCACUAAAUCUCAACUUUUCGAUGGAGGCAAAGCAGAAAGUCAUGUCCAGGAACUGUUAAAAAGAGAUGUUAGACGACUACCGCGUCACGAGUAUAGUUUAGCAUAAACUAUUAUUGCGGUAUAUGAAAAUAUAUCCAAAAUAGAAUUGCAGCGGAGGCGGAUGUUCGAGUCGAAGUCGAAGGUCGAAAGACCUCCGGUCAAUGUUUUCCACAAGAAAAGAUGUAUUUUUGAUGGACACAACAGUGUCCAUAAGAAAUUAGUUGAUGGUAGAGGGGUUCGAUGCAAUUGAAAGAAGUUGCUAGUCAGGCAUUCGCAUCCAUUCGCAGACUUGAGCUAUAUGUAUACCCUUCAGGGUGAUUUGUAAUUGUUACGAAAAAAGAUGAAAUAAACAGGGAACUAACUUCCCAUAAUCUCCUCCCGUAUUCCUUUCUUCUUAUUUAGUUUAAGUUUGGGCAUUAGUUAAUUAAUUAGCCUGUUCUUACACCAAGCUUACUGUACCUGAAUAUCUAGUAGCUCAACAUUUAUACUAGAGACUUCAAUGACUUCAAUUAAAUAAGUGAUGCUAAUCAUAACA